UGGCUAUGUUGUGACAGAAGAAGAGUGGCAUAUAGACUUCUGUAUGUCCAUUUUUAUGGAAGUGACAAAUUACUAAUCUUUCUUCUUAUAUCCAUUUCAGAGUUCUUACAAAGAUGCAUAGAUUGCAGCAGUGGGAUGUUACAGUCAUAGACGUUGGAUAGACUCCGUUGUACUAGGCCAGGGAGGGUAGCGCAGAGUUUCCGCAGCACUAUACAAUAGUAACAAGAUCACUCUACCAUGAGCUUGUUAAAGGGCCCGUUUGAUGAAAGUGACAACAACGUUCUCCACGACACUACAGAUUUGUUUUUGCAGAUGCAGCCGAGAGGAUGUUUCAGUCAUGGACUCAUUUGAUGGAAGUGACACCAACAUUCUCAAACACUAAUAAUUUACAAAUUUGUUUUUGUUGUAGAUGCAACCUCAGUCAUACACCCUAGAGUUUGACUAUGUUGUGACAGAAGAAGAGUGGCAUGUAGAUUUCUUUUAUGGAAGUGCAAAUAACUAAUCUUUCUUCUUCAUAUCUAUUUCAGAGUUCUUACGAAGAUGUAUAGGUAUGCAGUAUUUAUUAUUUUUGUCUCUGUGUAUUUUUGUCAAUGAGGUAAAACCACAGAACAAAUCAAUCAGAAGUAUUAACUGGUGUAAUUUGAGAACACCCUGGAACACGAGAAAUAUCCUACCUCACAAAAUUUAACAUGAGACAUCUUGUUUUCACCUUUUUUCAAGGAAGCAGCACACACAGUGUAAUCAUGAAGGUAUCCAUGUCCUGGAACAUCUGGGAAUAGCAUAUCUCUAAUAGUAUUUUUACUACUAUCCUCAAAAUUCAAACAAAACAGUCAGAUAUUUUGAUCAACAAGAGGUACA